GACGAACGCUGGCGGCGUGCUUAACACAUGCAAGUCGAACGGAAAGGCCCUGCUUGUGUGGGGUGCUCGAGUGGCGAACGGGUGAGUAACACGUGAGUAACCUGCCCUUGACUUUGGGAUAACUUCAGGAAACUGGGGCUAAUACCGUAUAGGAGCUCCUGCUGCAUGGUGGGGGUUGGAAAGUUUCGGCGGUUGGGGAUGGACUCGCGGCUUAUCAGCUUGUUGGUGGGGUAGUGGCUUACCAAGGCUUUGACGGGUAGCCGGCCUGAGAGGGUGACCGGCCACAUUGGGACUGAGAUACGGCCCAGACUCCUACGGGAGGCAGCAGUGGGGAAUAUUGCACAAUGGGCGGAAGCCUGAUGCAGCAACGCCGCGUGCGGGAUGACGGCCUUCGGGUUGUAAACCGCUUUCGCCUGUGACGAAGCGUGAGUGACGGUAAUGGGUAAAGAAGCACCGGCUAACUACGUG
rnacentral:rRNA from 1 species